UUUUUUUUUGCUAAAUUUUGUUUGUAUAUAAAUAUGCAAAAAACAAAAGAUAUUACAAUGAAGAUCAGAACAUAACCUUCUUCUCCCGAUAAGGUUAAAACACCUAGAUAAGACUAAGGAAACCAAUUUCCUAACUUAAUUAAAUUCUUCCUCACAUCCCGAAGCUAGGAAAGAGAACCAACUAAAUAAACACUAACUAAAAUAGAUAAUGACAUAUUUAGCUACAACAAUAAGGACUUGUGUGAUGCAAUGGAUAGCCCACUUGAGGCUGCAUAAUCAUUUAAAAUCCAAGCACCAGCCCUCAAUGAUCAGCAACAUGGACCCACGUGAGCUACGUAACGUGGGGCCCAACAGUUUCAUGGGUGGGAUGUACAACCCACGUGCAGCUUAGGAUGUUACAAAGCUUCAAACCAGCCAAAAGUGAUAGUUUAGCUAGCAAAAUCGUGGGUCCAAAGCCCACCAAAACAUCAAGAGAGCAACAAUUGAUUCGAAUCAGUCAUUGUCCCAAUUCAGCCCACGUGAUGAUUCAAAUGACACAACACAUGGACGACCAGCAGGAGACCAUGUGCAGCCCCAAAAUCAACCGGCAAAUCACCUUGAACAUGAAAAGCCGGCAUGCAAAAACAUACUAGCCCGGACCCAAACAAACAGAAUCCGGCCUAUCAACCUUAACUAACGAAAAUCAGAUCUUGAACUCAACAAUAAUGAAAAUGAUUUCCGAACUAAACACAGGCAUAUCACCACCCAAAAAUAAACAAAGUCGACCAUCAAGACUCUACAAAACCCAAACCAGCCCAAAGCUUCAUCAAGAUCAGAUCCGAACUCUUCAAACGAGAGAGAAAGGGUGGGCCGCAGGAUGAAGGGGGAGAAAUGAGUGCAACAGAGGGUGGUGGUCAGAAAGAGAUAUAAGAGGUGGGGUUAAGACAUAAGCUCAACCACCCAUGAACAAACAGAGAUGAACAUAAGAAAGGAAGAUCGGAAACGAUCCAAAUUUGAACAGUAAAAUGAAUAAUUAGUAAAAGUCGUAAAGCCAGAUUUGAGAAUCAGUACCAAAUUAG
rnacentral:lncRNA from 1 species